rnacentral:rRNA from 1 species
CCUACGGGGGGCUGCAGUGGGGAAUAUUGGACAAUGGGGGCAACCCUGAUCCAGCCAUGCCGCGUGUGUGAAGAAGGCCCUCGGGUUGUAAAGCACUUUCAGUGAGGAAGAACGCCUGGUGGUUAAUACCCAUCAGGAAAGACAUCACUCACAGAAGAAGCACCGGCUAACUCCGUGCCAGCAGCCGCGGUAAUACGGAGGGUGCGAGCGUUAAUCGGAAUUACUGGGCGUAAAGCGCGCGUAGGUGGCUUGAUAAGCCGGUUGUGAAAGCCCCGGGCUCAACCUGGGAACGGCAUCCGGAACUGUCGAGCUAGAGUGCAGGAGAGGAAGGUAGAAUUCCCGGUGUAGCGGUGAAAUGCGUAGAGAUCGGGAGGAAUACCAGUGGCGAAGGCGGCCUUCUGGACUGACACUGACACUGAGGUGCGAAAGCGUGGGUAGCAAACAGGAUUAGAUACCCUUGUAGUC